UACAGAGGGGGCGAGCGUUAUUCGGAAUUAUUGGGCGUAAAGGGCGCGUAGGCGGCUUUUUAAGUGACGGGUGAAAUCCCUCGGCUUAACCGAGGAACUGCCUGUCAGACUGGAAGGCUUGAGUCCGGGAGAGGUGAGUGGAAUUCCCAGUGUAGCGGUGAAAUGCGUGGAUAUUGGGAGGAACACCAGUGGCGAAGGCGGCUCACUGGACCGGAACUGACGCUGAGGCGCGAAAGCGUGGGGAGCAAACAGG
rnacentral:rRNA from 1 species